UGCCGGCGUGGUGAAAUUGGUAGACACGUCAGACUCAAAAUCUGAUGGAUGAGUAAUCCGUAUCGGUUCGAUUCCGAUCGCCGGUAG
rnacentral:tRNA from 1 species